AAAUGACCAACGUCAAGUAUAAUUGUCGCCUGUGGGACGACAGGAACGACCGUGAUCGAAUAAGAGGCACAGGAAAAUUCGGCGGAUGUAGUGUACUUUAUUGGACUUAGUGGUGCUGUUAAGAGGACACUGUAAUUCGCAUUGAACGAUUAUGUAAUCGCGUGAGGUACACCAGUAUUCGACCUCGAUUAAAACAACAUGCGAUUCAGAUUCAAUUUCGUACAAAUUUCAAGCAACGAUUCACAUAGCCCUAAUCGUUGCAUAUCUAACCAAAUAACUGGAAUUUGUCGGAUUGGUUGCUGUGAUGUCCCAAUCUCCAAUAAGCAGACAUCUUGGCUUUUUUCUCAGUAAAUAAGCAGGAGGGAUCUGUGCAUAUGACGUACAGGCCAGAGACUAUCUCCCCCUACCACCGCGAUCCUCUUCCACCGAAAGAAGAUAUUUUCCAUGAUAAAUACGAAAAAUGAUAUGAUGCUUCCCACGAUCAACACAGCAAAUGCACCAACCAAAUUAUCUAAAGAUAAACGAACGAGUGGUUUCUUCUCGCUUUUGUCACGUUGGAUGUUUUGCUUUCUUGUCCAACAAGGCUUGGCAUCUGGAAUAAACCAUCCCUCCCACAGAGUACU